rnacentral:rRNA from 1 species
GAUGAACGCUGGCGGCGUGCCUAAUACAUGCAAGUCGAGCGAACGGACGAGAAGCUUGCUCCUCUGACGUUAGCGGCGGACGGGUGAGUAACACGUGGAUAACCUACCUAUAAGACUGGGAUAACUUCGGGAAACCGGAGCUAAUACCGGAUAAUAUUUUGAACCGCAUGGUUCAAUAGUGAAAGACGGUUUUGCUGUCACUUAUAGAUGGAUCCGCGCUGCAUUAGCUAGUUGGUAAGGUAACGGCUUACCAAGGCAACGAUGCGUAGCCGACCUGAGAGGGUGAUCGGCCACACUGGAACUGAGACACGGUCCAGACUCCUACGGGAGGCAGCAGUAGGGAAUCUUCCGCAAUGGGCGAAAGCCUGACGGAGCAACGCCGCGUGAGUGAUGAAGGUCUUCGGAUCGUAAAACUCUGUUAUUAGGGAAGAACAUAUGUGUAAGUAACUAUGCACGUCUUGACGGUACCUAAUCAGAAAGCCACGGCUAACUACGUG